rnacentral:rRNA from 1 species
CAGCGCCGCAAGUGGGAGCCAUAUUUAUUGGGCCUAAAGCGUCCGUAGCCGGUUUGAUAAAUUUCUUGUGAAAUUGCCAGGCUUAACUUGGCAGCGUGCAGGAAAGACUGUCAGACUAGGGACCGGGAGGCGUGUGGGGUAUUCCUUGGGGAGCGGUAAAAUGUUAUAAUCCUUGGAAGACCACCUGUGGCGAAGGCGCCACACGAGCACGGAUCCGACGGUGAGGGACGAAAGCCAGGGGAGCGAUCCGGAUUAGAGACCCGAGUAGUCC